UCUCUUCGGAGAUGGAAUUCUUAACCUAGUGGCGGACGGGUGAGUAAUGCGUGAGCAACCUGCCCUUCAGAGGGGGACAACAGUUGGAAACGACUGCUAAUACCGCAUAAGCGCACGGUUCCGCAUGGAACAGUGUGAAAAACUCCGGUGGUGUGAGAUGGACCCGCGUCUGAUUAGCCAGUUGGCGGGGUAACGGCCCACCAAGGCGAUGAUCAGUAGCCGGUCUGAGAGGAUGAACGGCCACAUUGGGACUGAGACACGGCCCAGACUCC
rnacentral:rRNA from 1 species